rnacentral:rRNA from 1 species
CGCGUAGGUGGUAGUGUAAGUCUGGGGUGGAAUGCCGGGGCUUAACCCUGGAAUUGCCUUGGAAACUGCAUUACUUGAGUCAGUGAGGGGAGGGUAGAAUUCCUGGUGUAGCGGUGAAAUGCGUAGAUAUCAGGAGGAAGGCCUGUGGCGAAGGCGGCCCUCUGGUGCCGGACUGACACUGAGGCGCGAAAGCGUGGGGAGCAAACAGGAUUAGAUACCCUGGUAGUCCACGCCCUAAACGGUGGGCACUAGGUGUAGGGCUCGUAAGGGUUCUGUGCCGAAGGGAAACCAUUAAGUGCCCCGCCUGGGGAGUACGGCCGCAAGGUUGAA